UACGAGGGGGGCGAGCGUUGUUCGGAAUUAUUGGGCGUAAAGGGCUCGUAGGCGGUUUGUCACGUCGGGAGUGAAAACUCGGGGCUCAACCCCGAGCCUGCUUCCGAUACGGGCAGACUAGAGGUAUGCAGGGGAGAAUGGAAUUCCUGGUGUAGCGGUGAAAUGCGCAGAUAUCAGGAGGAACACCGGUGGCGAAGGCGGUUCUCUGGGCAUUACCUGACGCUGAGGAGCGAAAGUGUGGGGAGCGAACAGG
rnacentral:rRNA from 1 species